CUGUUAAGCUGCCGGACUAAUUAAUGUUAGUGUCGAAUUGCACUUCAUCAAGUGACCAAUCAGCUGAUUUGAAUUGUCAACGGAAGCGGUAGUAUUUUGAAUUUUUCUCUGGACUUGUCAUGAUGUUAGGCAGUUAUAAACAUACUCCUUGGAAGUAUUUUAGCAGUACUGUAUUCACUAUUAAGUGGUAUCGCUUUGGAAAUGAGAAGUCCUACAUUCAGUCAAAAUUUCAAUAAUGUGGAAAAGCGGGACUCACGCAUCGAAGGUUUCGAAAAUGGCUUCUAGAAUUUGAUUGCCAAAUGACCACCUUUCGUGUAAUCGCCUGUAUCAAAAACUUCGAUAUUUUUGCAGAGGUCCGUCAGAUACAAUAUUAAUAACCUGGCCUUUCUAUAAUUUGUUAAGAUCAUUAUAGCAGUGUAGUGUAGUCGUUGACUACAGUAUAUCAUCUUGGUAAUGGGGCAUUCAAAAAUGUAUAAGGAUAACUCCAAAACGGAUUAUGAUUAGACUAGAUCAGAGUUAUACUGGGCAAGGGGUUUUCGGUAUUAUCAGGCUUCAAAUGAUUUUAGACAUUCCAGUUGUCUUCUCCUUCAAUUAAGAGCCAUUCAUUUUUAUUCAGUCAGGCAUAUUGUAUAUUGUAUAUGAAGAUUCUCGACCAGUAUAUUUAACUGAAUAUUAUGAAGUAAAAGAUGUACAUCAAUAAUACACUAAAGCAACUAAGCAUGAUUUUGUUUACCGAAUCUUAAACCUCAUAUUAACAUUAUCUUUCUUUUGUAAUUGUAUCUAUAAUUGGAAUGGUCUUCCUGUUUAUUUAAAUAAAGUUGAUGAUAAAACCUCUGACAAAUAACUCUUAACAAUCGAUUUAUUUGAAAUCAGCAAAAGCAAGCUUAGUGGCAAGGAAACAGUUAAAUUCUAAACAUUUUUUAACCAAUGUCUAUUAAUUUGUAUGUGUAAUCUCUUUUUUUUAAUUUUUCAAUUAAUCUUACUGUAAUUUAUUUUUUUCUUAGACCCCAUCAGAAAUUCUUUGUUAGGGAUUAAUUGGGUCGUUCAAAAUCUAUACAUUUAUAAUUUAUAUCGAUAUGUAUACUAGACUCUAUAGUUAGACACAGUAUAACAAUUAAUGAUUAUCCUCUGGCCCCGAAAACCUGAUUUAGAAAUAUGGUGAUGGUUUCCGUAACUUAAAUUGAAUAUGUUCUAUAGAUUCCAUCUGGAAAUAAAGUGAUUCAAUGAAUGAACUAACAUUAUUUCAUUUGAAGUAUUUGUGUCAUUAAAACUGAAAAAAAAAAAAAAAAAAAAAAAAAAAAAAAAAAAAAAAAAAAAA